UGACAGAAUACUCGGCGGCAUCGAUAUGAUGACUUAGUUGUCGCCCCAAGCGGAUCUAUUUCUUGAAGUGACAGAUAAUAACAACCAAUUAGCCAAACACUGACAUGUCUGAUCAAUUUUUUU